UGGUUAUGUGCCGGUUUUGGUAGAUGGAGAUGUUGUUUUUCUGAUUCUUUUGCUAUUUUACUGUAUCUGCAAAGAAGUAUCCUCAGCAUCCAUUGUUGCCUUCUGAUCUUAAGACAAAAGCUAUCAAUUUUCAGGAAAUCAUAAGAAUAGAGAAUGAACACCGGAUGAUAGCCAAUGUAUUGUCAAUGAUAGAGUGGAAGGUCUCUUAAGGGUACCAGAGCAUUUGGAGCUGGAUUUCUGAAAAAG